rnacentral:lncRNA from 1 species
UCACACAGCGCCCCGCCCCGCCCCAGUACAUUUCCUUUCAGGGAAAGGGACAGGGAAGAGGCUGUCGGGAAAUGGCGGCCGCGGCCGGGCUGGGGCUUCAGCGGGAGGCAGCAGAGGGGAAGUGGUCAGCGUGGCGAAUGACGGAAGAAACUCGCAUUGUCUACUGGAUCAAGGACAGACAGCUCACCAACCGUGACAGCACCAUACUGGAACUUCAAAAAGUUCUGAAAACAUGUUGGUUCGUUUGUUGGAGUAUUUUUCAACUUAAAUUCCUUUUCCUUUUUUUUUUUUUUGCUCACUUUUUCCUCUGCAGAAAAACCUUAAAAUGUUCUACCUUUUCCUUGAAACCUCCUCCCACUCCUUAGUUCACAUUGACUUGUCUUUAAAUGUUUUUGAGAAAAUAAUCAGAAAUGCACAAUUAGUGCUUGGUGGUUCUCAAAUUAUUUCACGCGUGGUAGUUUUGAUUUUUGCUUUUCCAGUGAGGCUGUACCUUUCAUCCUUAGGCAAAUAUGAUGGCUUUCAAAAGCAGCUAUGGGGUGGGAACUGGGAGUGGCUGCAAAUGGGCAUGGAGCGUCUUUUAGAGAUAACGAAAAUGUCCCAACUUAGAUUGUGGUGAUAGUUCGCACAACUCUAUAAAUUACUAAAAACUAUUGAAUUUGCACUUGAAAAGGGGGAGAACUUUAUGAAAUAUAAAUUAUAACUCAAAGAAGCUCUUAAAAUGCCUAUGGAAUAAUAAGUAAAGAGUAGUGGGGAUAUGAUCUAUUUUGUGGGGAGACUAGCAGCAAAGUAAGACAUAAAGAUAAAGAAACAUACACUGGCCUGAGGAAGUAACAAAGUCUCUUUGAGCAAACUUUGGACAGGCUCCUCUCAGCUUUCUUUUCAACUACACCUUGUCCUUGGGCCCUGUCCUCGGCCUGCCUAGCCCAGUUUUAGCAAGAGUCCUGCUGAGUAACUCCCUCACCCUUGAUACCUGAUCACCUUGUCCUGCCUUGAGCGAGAAUCCUGUUUAGUCAGUUGAGCAAGAAUCCCCCUACCCUUGAUAUCUCUCUCCCCUUAGGAAUUUUCUUUCUACUGACUCCCUCACUCUGCUGCUUGACUGUAAAUCCACACUUGUCCUAGUUGUCUUUGGAUUGAGCUUAGUUCUAUACUGAAGUCUCUUUUCCUCUAUUAUAAUAGUACUCAAAAUAUGGCUUUACUGCUUUUGACUAGUAUCUGGCUCUGUUUCCCAUUGGCGGAAGGCACUCUCAGACAGUGCUUCUAGUAGUAUAUAUUAGCAUGACCUGCCAGGGUACAAUUCUUUUUAAAAAGACCACCAAUUGGCUGGAUGCAGUGGCUCACGCCUGUAAUCCCAGCACUCUGGGAGGCCGAGGCGGGUGGAUCAGGUCAGGAGUUCGAGACGAGCCUGGCCAACAUGGUGAAACCCCCAUCUCUACUAGAAAUACAAAAAUUAGCUGGGCAUGGUGGUGUGCGCCUGUAAUCCCAGCUACUUGGGAGGCUGAGGCAGGAGAAUCACUUGAAUGCAGGAGGCGGAGGUUGCAAUGAGCCAAGAUUGUGCCACUGCACUCCAGCUUGGGUGACAGAGUGGGCCUCCGUCUCAAAAAAAAACAAAAACAAAAAAAAGACCACCAAUUUAUUGCCAGGCAUUGUACUGGGUGCUGAGGAAAUUUGAGGAAAAACACCUAUUAAGUUCCUGUCCUCAAGGAGCUCAUAGUACAGUGGGGAGCCAAGUAGCAAGCAAAUAGCCAUGCAAGUGUAUAAUUGCAAUGAGGACAAGUAUCAUGAAAAGGAGGGUACAUGGUGCAAUGAGAGCCUAUAAAAUAGGGGUAUUCGACUAGUCAAGGUGGUCAGGAAUUGCUUCAAAGAAGCAGUUAUUGAGCUGAGAGUUAAAGGAAGAAUAGUGGCUAAUUAGAUUGGAGGUGAGAGUUGGAGGAGCUGGUUUGAGGCUAUGUGUUCAGAGAUGGCAUGGUGAGUAAAAGAGACUGAAUGAAAGUGGCUGGAGUUCAACAGGCAGUUGGGACAGCAGUGUGUUGGGUCAGGGCAUGCAGGGCCUUACAAGCCAUCUUAAGCCAUUCAGUCUAUAUCCUAAGAGCCAUUGGAAGCCCUGUGGGAUGGGGAGAACGAAUCAGAUUUGUCUUUGAAAAUAUUGCCCUGGGGGCCAGGCACAGUGGCUCAUGCCUGUAAUCCCAGCACUUUGGGAGGCUGAGGCAGGUGGAUCACCUGAGGUCGGGCAUUCGAGACCAGCCUGGCCAACCAACAUGGUGAAACCCCGUCUCUACUAAAAAUACAAAAAGUUAGCCGGGCAUGGUGGUGCAUGCUUGUAAUCCCAGCUACUCGGGAGGGUGAGGCAGGAGAAUCGCUUGAACCCGGGAGGCAGAGGUUGUGGUGAGCUGAGAUCGCGCCAUUGCACACCAGCCUGGGCAACAAGAGCAAAACUCUGUCUCAAAAAAAAAAAAAAAAAAAAAGAAAGGAAAAGAAAAUAUUGCCCUGGCUACAGUGUGGAUAAAGGAUUGGGAAGGAGUCAGAAUGUAUGGAGAGUUUUAUUAGAAGCCAUUUCAACAAUCUAGAGUAGAGGUAAUAGUAGCUUGUACUACAAUAGCCAUGGUUUACAUGGAGGGGAUUGGUAUAUUUUAGGGUUUCUUAGGAGGUAAAAUCUGCAGGACUUGGCAAUGGAUUGGAAUUGGGAGGGAGGGAGUGUGAUAUUGUGAAGUACACAUUUAGUCUUUAGUUUGUUUUGUGCUGCUAUAACAAUACCCGAUAGUGGGUAAUUUAUAAACAGAAAUUUAUUGCCUUACAGUUCUGGAAGAUAGGAAGUCUAAGGUUAAGGUGUGGGCAGGUUUGGUGUCUGGUGAGGCCAUUCUCUUUUUCCAAGAUGGUCCCUGCACACACUGUGUCCUCCAGAGGGGAGGAAGGCUAGAUCAUGACAUGGCAGAAGACAGAAAGAAGGGCCAAGAGAUAGAGCAAGAGGAGACCGAUCUUGCCCUUUUAUAAUGGCAUUAAUCCCACCUGUGAGGGUAGAGCCCUCAUGGCUUAAUCACCUCUUAAAAGUCUCACCUCUUAAUACUAUUACUGCAACCGCCCAGUGGGUUCACCUUGCCUGCUGCCUAGACAGAGAUUUAUCAAGACAGGAGAGUUGAAAUGAAGAAAGAGUAAUUC